UACGUAGGGGGCGAGCGUUGUCCGGAUUUAUUGGGCGUAAAGAGCGUGUAGGCGGCCAGGUAGGUCUGCUGUGAAAACUCGAGGCUCAACCUCGAGACGUCGGCGGAAACCAUCUGGCUAGAGUCCGGAAGAGGAGAGUGGAAUUCCUGGUGUAGCGGUGAAAUGCGCAGAUAUCAGGAGGAACACCGGUGGCGAAGGCGGCUUUCUGGACGACAACUGACGCUGAGACGCGAAAGCGUGGGGAGCAAACAGG
rnacentral:rRNA from 1 species